UGGGGAAUUUUGGACAAUUGGGCGAAAGCCUGAUCCAGCAAUGCCGCGUGUGUGAAGAAGGCCUUCGGGUUGUAAAGCACUUUUGUCCGGAAAGAAAUCCUUGGCUCUAAUACAGUCGGGGGAUGACGGUACCGGAAGAAUAAGCACCGGCUAACUACGUGCCAGCAGCCGCGGUAAUACGUAGGGUGCAAGCGUUAAUCGGAAUUACUGGGCGUAAAGCGUGCGCAGGCGGUUUGCUAAGACCGAUGUGAAAUCCCCGGGCUCAACCUGGGAACUGCAUUGGUGACUGGCAGGCUAGAGUAUGGCAGAGGGGGGUAGAAUUCCACGUGUAGCAGUGAAAUGCGUAGAGAUGUGGAGGAAUACCGAUGGCGAAGGCAGCCCCCUGGGCCAAUACUGACGCUCAUGCACGAAAGCGUGGGGAGCAAAACAGGAUUAGAUACCCUGGUAGUCCACGCCCUAAACGAUGUCAACUAGUUGUUGGGGAUUCAUUUCCUUAGUAACGUAGCUAACGCGUGAAGUUGACCGCCUGGGGAGUACGGUCGCAAGAUUAAAACUUAAAGGAAUUGACGGGGUCAUAGCUGUUUCCU
rnacentral:rRNA from 1 species